CUGGAACGCGCUUCGGCGCACCCAGAAACCCUUUGUGAACUUAUACCUACUGUUGCCUCGGCGUCAGGCCGGCCCCUUCACUGGGGCCCCCCGGAGACGGGGAGCAGCCCGCCGGCGGCCAAGUAAACUCUUGUUUCUAUAGUGAAUCUCUGAGUAAAAACAUAAAUGAAUCA
rnacentral:misc_RNA from 1 species